rnacentral:lncRNA from 1 species
CAUUUAAUCCCCCAGAGCCGACAACAUGUAAUCAGUUUUCCUUAACAAGUGACCUCCUUUAACUUUGUUAGUUCAUAAUUGAUUUGCUAGCAUGUAACCAAGAUAAUUAACACUCCUGAUUAGAGGCAGCCAAGAGAAGGAAGCUCUUUUUUUCAUGGCCAAGGCAAAUAUUGACUAAAAUUCGAGCUGUUUCCUAAGUUUCCUUACAAUUUAAUUCAUGGAAGGUGGUGGUCGGUGAUUUGUGGUUUUUAGUUAAAAAAUUAAAAUGGAGGUGAGAUGAAUGGGUCUGGCUACAGAACACUUUAUGACUGACUCAUAUUUUGGAUACAUGUGCUUUUUUCCUUUUCCUCAAAUACAAAGAUAUGAAGCAAGAGAAUCAAGUGGCAAGCGAAUAGAUUUAAUGGAGACUUUGAACACCUGGAGAGACUUCCACUUGUCAGGAGCGGGUGGGGAGAGGGGAGAAAGACGCACCGGACCUAAUAAGGAUCCUAAGCAUGAGCAUCAUCUUUUGAGUGGUCCUGUCUACUGUAGUUUACAAAGGUCUUUCACUUCCUUGUCUCACUGGGUCCCCACACAGCUCUGUGAUGAGGACGGCAGGGAAGGACCGACUGACGGGGCGUUUCAGAUGAGAGGUGGGACCGAGUUGAGGAAGUGGAGCCAAAGCCAGGAACUGCGCCCCCUGCAGACUGCACCCUGCACCUGUCUGUCUUUCCUGAAGGCUGAUGCAAAUAUUGGGUGAUUUAGGGCUUUUUGUAUCUCUGCUUCCCAUGCAAGUAUUAUCAGCGAGGUAAGAAAGGGGCCCAGGCCACAGACUGUAAGGAGCCCUCACUCUCGGGCCCCUGCAUUUUGUGCCCUUCCCGCCCUGCUUGUUUCACGCCCUGCACCAGCGCUUGCUGACCUCUGUUUCAAGCUUACUCCCUGCCAGGCGCUGUGCCACUCAUUUUUAUGCAUCCUCAUUUAAUCCUCACAACCCCCACCGGUGACAUGAGUAUUAGUGGGUCUCCAUUUUUACCGACGAGGACGACAGGCCUUGGAGAGGGAGUAACUUGUCCAAAGUCGCGAGGUUGGAAAAGAAGAGGCUGGUUGGGGUCCUGGCCAUCUGGCUCCAGGGCUCUGCUUGUCCAGGUUUCCCAGGGACUGUUUCUCUCAUGCGUAGUGCAGUGCCUGUCACAUAAUGAAUGAAUAAAGGCCAUUAAUUUCCAAAUUCCUGGGGACAUGCCUCCCCAGCCCAGCCCCUCUCCAUAAAGCCAGUGUUUCAGCUCCUGGUGUGAUAACAUCAAACCCUUCCAAGGACAGCACAGCGUUACCUUUCCUCGUCCCAUCCAUGCACCUGUGUCUCCCUGGGAAUUUGGAUGGAAGUACUAAUAAUCCACCAGGCUCCUGUCAGAAGGGCAUGAUGACUCACUUGUUUUGACAGUAUAAUAUCUCUAGUUAAAAAUAAUGCAGAAGCUGAAACCCCAAAAUCCCAACAAGGCCUGGCAGCUCAGCUGGUUUGCAACUGAACGUCCACUCCCGCCAUCUUCCUUCCAGCAGAACCCCACAUGUGCUCAGGUAUGGGUGCCGUGUCCUCCGUGGGGGUCCGCCUCCAGCUCAG